GCGGGGUAGCAAACGACUGCGCUCCCCUGGCAAUGCAUGGGUUUUAUAGCAACAGCGUGCCAAAUGCCAGUGACGCUAUUGACACAGUAUGAUUCGGUAUGUCAUACUGUGGCUAGCGUUGCCAAGGUUGGGGUCGAGGGUUCGAAUCCCUUCGCCCGCUCCA
rnacentral:tRNA from 1 species